CACCCCCAACUUUGACACAGAAUCAAGCAUUUUCUCUUCCUCCUGGUCAUGCAGUGUGUUGUUUCUUGGAUGGUGGAGUUGGACUUUAUGAUAUGGGAGCUAAGAAGUGGGAUUUUCUUAGAGACUUGGGACAUGUGGAAACUAUCUUUGACUGCAAAUUCAAACCUGACGAUCCUAAUCUUUUAGCAACAGCUUCAUUUGAUGGCACUAUAAAAGUCUGGGAUAUAAACACAUUAACAGCAGUGUACACAUCCCCGGGUAAUGAAGGUGUUAUUUAUUCCCUUUCUUGGGCUCCAGGUGGUUUAAAUUGUAUUGCUGGGGGAACUUCCCGAAAUGGUGCUUUUAUUUGGAAUGUUCAAAAGGGCAAAAUUAUACAACGAUUUAAUGAGGUAAG
rnacentral:lncRNA from 1 species